UAGGGAAUCUUCCACAAUGGACGCAAGUCUGAUGGAGCAACGGCCGCGUGAGUGAAGAAGGUUUUCGGAUCGUAAAGCUCUGUUGUUGGUGAAGAAGGAUAGAGGUAGUAACUGGCCUUUAUUUGACGGUAAUCAACCAGAAAGUCACGGCUAACUACGUGCCAGCAGCCGCGGUAAUCGUAGGUGGCAAGCGUUGUCCGGAUUUAUUGGGCGUAAAGCGAGCGCAGGCGGAAGAAUAAGUCUGAUGUGAAAGCCCUCGGCUUAACCGAGGAAUUGCAUCGGAAACUGUUUUCUUGAGUGCAGAAGAGGAGAGUGGAACUCCAUGUGUAGCGGUGGAAUGCGUAGAUAUAUGGAAGAACACCAGUGGCGAAGGCGGCUCUCUGGUCUGCAACUGACGCUGAGGCUCGAAAGCAUGGGUAGCGAACAGGAUUAGUACCCUGGUAGUCA
rnacentral:rRNA from 1 species